rnacentral:rRNA from 1 species
GGGGGAGUACGGUGGCAAGGUUCAAAACUCAAAUGAAUUGACGGGGGCCCGCACAAGCGGUGGAGCAUGUGGUUUAAUUCGAUGCAACGCGAAGAACCUUACCUACUCUUGACAUCUACAGAAGCCAGCGGAGACGCAGGUGUGCCUUCGGGAACUGUAAGACAGGUGCUGCAUGGCUGUCGUCAGCUCGUGUUGUGAAAUGUUGGGUUAAGUCCCGCAACGAGCGCAACCCUUAUCCUUGUUUGCCAGCACUUCGGGUGGGAACUCCAGGGAGACUGCCGGUGAUAAACCGGAGGAAGGUGGGGACGACGUCAAGUCAUCAUGGCCCUUACGAGUAGGGCUACACACGUGCUACAAUGGCGCAUACAGAGGGCGGCCAACUUGCGAAAGUGAGCGAAUCCCAAAAAGUGCGUCGUAGUCCGGAUUGGAGUCUGCAACUCGACUCCAUGAAGUCGGAAUCGCUAGUAAUCGUGGAUCAGAAUGCCACGGUGAAUACGUUCCCGGGCCUUGUACACACCGCCCGUCACACCAUGGGAGUGGGCUGCAAAAGAAGUGGGUAGUUUAACCUUCGGGAGGACGCUCACCACUUUGUGGUUCAUGACUGGGGUGAAGUCGUAACAAGGUAACCG